rnacentral:rRNA from 1 species
CAGUCGCCGCGGGAAUACAGAGGGUGCAAGCGUUAAUCGGAAUUACUGGGCGUAAAGCGCGCGUAGGUGGUUUGUUAAGUUGGAUGUGAAAGCCCCGGGCUCAACCUGGGAACUGCAUCCAAAACUGGCAAGCUAGAGUACGGUAGAGGGUGGUGGAAUUUCCUGUGUAGCGGUGAAAUGCGUAGAUAUAGGAAGGAACACCAGUGGCGAAGGCGACCACCUGGACUGAUACUGACACUGAGGUGCGAAAGCGUGGGGAGCAAACAGGAUUAGAUACCCGGGUAGUCCCUGUCUCUUAUAA